AUGUCUCCUAGACGAGCACAGGCCAACGCUGAUGUCGAUUUGGGUGCAGAAAUAAGAAGCAAGGUGUUCUUUGCAUUAACUCCUAGGCGUCCACAUCGCUCCCAUACUGUCCGCCAGGAGCUGGGGCUUAUCGAGCAGCCACGUCCCCCUUCUGCACGACCAGCUGAGUCACAAAACGCUGAUGUGGAUGUGGGUGCAGAAAUAAGAAGCAGGGUGUUCUUUCCAUCAACUCCCAGGCGUCGACGGUGCGUUCAUACUGUCUGCCAGGAGCUGGGGGCUAUCGAACAGCCGUGUCCCCCUUCUGCACCACCAGCUGAGUCACCAAACGCCAUUGAAGCAUGCCGGGAGAAGAUCAAAUGGUGGGAGAGCGUGAGGAUUUGGCUGCAGCAUAAGUCCAAAAUGAUCAAUGAGUCUUUAUGCAAGGAUCCUAAAGAUCUUAUUGUGCUACACAGUGGGCCAAAAUUCGUGGAAUUGAGCACAGGAGGCUUAUAUUGCAAUCCAAUUCCACAGGACAUCGUACCACGAAGAAAAAUGCGUAUGCCUGAUGGUUUUUGGUCAUCUUAUGAAGAAGACACACACGGAUAUUGGAAGGUGUAUCAUGAUCAGCAGCGGGACAUCCAAACCUGCAGUUUGAGCGAUAAGUUCUAUGGUCCCAUGUGCCUCCCUGACAUCAAGAAUCCGUCUGUGCAUGAUGUUGGCGUAAUUCAAGACUUCUAUUAUUCCCACCGUGGGUACAUGGCCAAGCAUUUUGAACAUUUAAUGUACCUCAAAUAUGUGAUAGAGGAGAACUUGAUACUACAAGUAAGCAGCAAAAUCAAGGACCUGAUACAACAUCUUAAGUGGCUGGAACAAAAUCCUGGUUUAAUGUUGCCUGAGCCGGUUCAUUCGAUUGAAGAUUGGGAAGCCGAGGAGGAAUCGGUUGACUAUUUAGUUCCUGAAACUGAGAAUGAUUAUCCCGAUCAGUCAGAUGAGGAAGAUAGAGAUACCAAUAUGAUGAGCAGGCUCAAUCUUGAAGAUGAGAAUGAGAUUGAUCCCCAUGUUCAUGUUUUUGGUAGUAAUUGGUUUUCUGGAACAUGA
rnacentral:rRNA from 1 species